AGUGAACGCUGGCGGUAGGCCUAACACAUGCAAGUCGAACGGCAGCACAGUAAGAGCUUGCUCUUACGGGUGGCGAGUGGCGGACGGGUGAGGAAUACAUCGGAAUCUACUUUUUCGUGGGGGAUAACGUAGGGAAACUUACGCUAAUACCGCAUACGACCUACGGGUGAAAGCAGGGGAUCUUCGGACCUUGCGCGAUUGAAUGAGCCGAUGUCGGAUUAGCUAGUUGGCGGGGUAAAGGCCCACCAAGGCGACGAUCCGUAGCUGGUCUGAGAGGAUGAUCAGCCACCCUGGAACUGAGACACGGUCCAGACUACUACGGGAGGCAGCAGUGGGGAAUAUUGGACAAUGGGCGCAAGCCUGAUCCAGCCAUCCCGCGUGGGUGAAGAAGGCCUUCGAGUUGUAAAGCCCUUUUGUUGGGAAAGAAAAGCAGCAGGUUAAUACCCCGCUGUUCUGACGGUACCCAAAGAAUAAGCACCGGCUAACUUCGUG
rnacentral:rRNA from 1 species